GGGGUGGGGGGGGAUGUCAUUGCUUGUGCUGGGACCACUGUGCCCCCUAACUGUGACCAGCUGCUUCAGGCUGCUUCUGCUUUCACCCACUGCCGUGAUGGUGUGAGAUGGCCUCAGAAGCCAGGAGAGUGCUGGGCUCCUUGGAAGUGGAAUAAAGAAGCUAUGACCCACCGUAUGGAUUUCAGUGCUCCUGUCUUCCGUCGGUGAACUCCCCACACAGGGCCUCCCAGGAAGAGUGCAGCCUGGAGAGACUGCUGCUCAGAAGCCGAGGAAGGAAGUGGCGAUAUUCCAUUGGACAGGAUGAGUCACAUGGGCCUAACCACCGAAGAGUCAGGGACCAGAAUUUCCACGGACUCUAAUUCUAGGUCCUGAAAGGUAAGGAAAACUGGACAUUGGAGAGAUUGUGACUCGAUGACGCUUGAUAAAAGAAACUUUAGGGAGAAAUGACUCAGCAGUACGAGCGUGGACCUCUCUUGCUUAAGACCCAAGUUCAGUUCCCUGCACCCAAGUCUGCUCACAACCAAGCCUAACUCCAGUUCCAGGACCCAGGGCGCCCUCCUUCUACCCGCUGAAGGCACCAGGCCCAGAUGUGCUGCACAGAUGCACAAGCAGAGGGAAGACUUCAGCAACAGGGUUAGCUGGCCUAUUCUCAUUGGUGGAACACAGGACAAAGGAUCUUUUCAGGUAUUGGCUGGCCUGCUCAAGGAGCUGUUCUUGGCUUAGUCACUUUCCUUAUCCAGCCCUGCACCUGGCCUUGGAAAACCACUGGGAAAGGGCUAAAUUGGCAAGUCCCUUAGAAGGCAGGGAGGAACUGGGUGGUCGGGCAGGGUCAGGACGACAUCUUGAGGUUGUUCUCGGUAUUUACCACAGGGAGGGGGA
rnacentral:sRNA from 1 species